GAUGAACGCUGGCGGCAUGCUUUACACAUGCAAGUCGAACGGUAACAGGCCGCAAGGUGCUGACGAGUGGCGAACGGGUGAGUAAUGCAUCGGAACGUGCCCAGUCGUGGGGGAUAACGCAGCGAAAGCUGUGCUAAUACCGCAUACGAUCUAUGGAUGAAAGCGGGGGACCGUAAGGCCUCGCGCGAUUGGAGCGGCCGAUGUCAGAUUAGGUAGUUGGUGGGGUAAAGGCCUACCAAGCCGACGAUCUGUAGCUGGUCUGAGAGGACGACCAGUCACACUGGGACUGGGACACGGCCCAGACUCCUACGGGAGGCAGCAGUGGGGAAUUUUGGACAAUGGGCGCAAGCCUGAUCCAGCAAUGCCGCGUGCAGGAAGAAGGCCUUCGGGUUGUAAACUGCUUUUGUACGGAACGAAACGGUCUGGGUUAAUACCCUGGGCUAAUGACGGUACCGUAAGAAUAAGCACCGGCUAACUACGUGCCAGCAGCCGCGGUAAAAC
rnacentral:rRNA from 1 species